rnacentral:rRNA from 1 species
CUACGGGAGGCACCAGCGAGGAAUAUUGCACAAUGGGGGGAACCCUGAUGCAGCAACGCCGCGUGGAGGAUGACGCAUUUCGGUGUGUAAACUCCUUUUAUAUGUCAAGAAAAUGACGGUAGCAUAUGAAUAAGCACCGGCUAACUCCGUGCCAGCAGCCGCGGUAAUACGGAGGGUGCAAGCGUACUCGGAAUCACUGGGCGUAAAGGACGCGUAGGCGGGUUGGAAAGUCAGGUGUGAAAUCCUACAGCUUAACUGUAGAACUGCACUUGAAACUUCUAAUCUAGAGUAUGGGAGGGGGAGAUGGAAUUAGUGGUGUAGGGGUAAAAUCCGUAGAUAUCACUAGGAAUACCUAAAGCGAAGGCGAUCUCCUGGAACAUUACUGACGCUAAGGCGUGAAAGCGUGGGGAGCAAACAGGAUUAGAUACCCCCGUAGUC